rnacentral:rRNA from 1 species
UACGUAGGUGACAAGCGUUGUCCGGAUUUACUGGGCGUAAAGAGCGCGCAGGCGGUCGAUCAAGUCGAGUGUGAAAGCCCCCGGCUCAACUGGGGAGGGUCAUUCGAUACUGAUCGACUCGAAGGCAGGAGAGGGUAGUGGAAUUCCCGGUGUAGUGGUGAAAUGCGUAGAUAUUGGGAAGAACACCGGUGGCGAAGGCGGCUAUCUGGCCCGUAAUUGACGCUGAGGCGCGAAAGCGUGGGGAGCAAACAGG